UACGGAGGAUGCGAGCGUUAUCCGGAUCUAUUGGGUUUAAAGGGUGCGUAGGCGGACGCUUAAGUCAGCGGUAAAAUUGCGGGGCUCAACCUCGUCGAGCCGUUGAAACUGGGUGCCUUGAGUGGGCGAGAAGUACGCGGAAUGCGUGGUGUAGCGGUGAAAUGCAUAGAUAUCACGCAGAACUCCGAUUGCGAAGGCAGCGUACCGGCGCCCUACUGACGCUGAAGCACGAAGGCGUGGGUAUCGAACAGG
rnacentral:rRNA from 1 species